rnacentral:rRNA from 1 species
CUACGGAGGGUGCGAGCGUUAUCCGGAUUUAUUAGGUUUAAAGGGUGUGUAGGCGGGAGCCUAAGUCAGUGGUGAAAUCUCACAGCUUAACUGUGAAACUGCCAUUGAAACUGGGUUUCUUGAGUAUAGUUGAGGUAGGCGGAAUGUGUAAUGUAGCGGUGAAAUGCAUAGAUAUUACACAGAACACCGAUUGCGAAGGCAGCUUACUAAGCUAUUACUGACGCUGAUGCACGAAAGCGUGGGUAGCGAACAGGAUUAGAUACCCGAGUAGUCC